GAGCGGAUGACUGGAGCUUGCUCCUUGAUUCAGCGGCGGACGGGUGAGUAAUGCCUAGGAAUCUGCCUGGUAUUGGGGGACAACGUUUCGAAAGGAACGCUAAUACCGCAUACGUCCUACGGGAGAAAGCAGGGGACCUUCGGGCCUUGCGCUAUCAGAUGAGCCUACGUCGGAUUAGCUAGUUGGUGGGGUAAUGGCUCACCAAGGCGACGAUCCGUAACUGGUCUGAGAGGAUGAUCAGUCACACUGGAACUGAGACACGGUCCAGACUCCUACGGGAGGCAGCAGUGGGGAAUAUUGGACAAUGGGCGAAAGCCUGAUCCAGCCAUGCCGCGUGUGUGAAGAAGGUCUUCGGAUUGUAAAGCACUUUAAGUUGGGAGGAAGGGCAGUAAGCUAAUACCUUGCUGUUUUGACGUUACCGACAGAAUAAGCACCGGCUAACUCUGUG
rnacentral:rRNA from 1 species